UCAGAGGCCAAUCUGCUCAGGAAAAUCAGAACCAGAGGAGAGAAGUGAAAAGCUUUCCUGGUAUCAGUAGUUAAAGAUCUUCGAUGACAACUUCUUGUGGCCACCAUGGACAUUGAGUGGGUGAACACUGCCAUCAACUACCACCUGCCUGGGGAUUCCCACACCUACCUGCAUCUGGUAAACUGCACACCCACAUGGACAUCCCAGUGUCCCCUCCCACCCCCUGAUUUCCUAUGUCUUCAUAACUUACAUGCUCCUCCCUUCUUUUCGGUGUCUUCCUACUUUGGGGUUUUCCCAGUGCUACUAUCUAUCUCCUUCCAUGAGACCUGAGCAGGCCAGUUUGGUCACACAGGUUUGGCCAUCAUGUUUGUGUCAGUUGAAAAGAUGCCAAGGUUCUCAGUGAGGUGCAGGGUCACAUUGAGGUCAGUAGGAGUGAGCUGCCUGAUGAGAUGGCCAUUUCCUCCUCCAGUGAGUAUUGAUCUCAUGAAACUGGCUCCUCCAAA